rnacentral:rRNA from 1 species
UACGGAGGGUGCAAGCGUUUGUCCGGAAUCACUGGGCGUAAAGGGCGCGUAGGCGGCUCAUGAAGGCUGUGGUGAAAGUCCGGGGCUCAACCUCGGAUCGGCCGUGGCGACUCGUGGGCUGGAGCACUGUAGAGGCGGGUGGAAUUCCGGGUGUAGCGGUGGAAUGCGUAGAGAUCCGGAAGAACACCAGUGGCGAAGGCGGCCCGCUGGGCAGUGGCUGACGCUGAGGCGCGACAGCGUGGGGGAGCAAACAGG